GAUGAAGACGUAGCGAAAUGCGAUAAGUAAUGUGAAUUGCAGAAUUCAGUGAAUCAUCGAAUCUUUGAACGCACAUUGCGCCCGCCAGUAUUCUGGCGGGCAUGCCUGUUCGAGCGUCAUUUCAACCCUCAGGCCCCGCCUGGCGUUGGGGAUCGGCGCGGCCCUCUCCGGGCUGCCGGCCCCGAAAACUAGUGGCGGUCUCGCUGUAGUCCUCCUCUGCGCAGUAGCAACGCUCGCACUGGAACUCGGCGCGGCCACGCCGUAAAACACCCCACUUCUGAAAGUUGACCUCGGAUCAGGUAGGAAUACCCGCUGAACUUAAGCAUAUCAAUAAGCGGAGGA
rnacentral:misc_RNA from 1 species